UCGGUGGGGAUUAGUGGCGAACGGGUGAGUAACACGUGGGCAAUCUGCCCUGCACUCUGGGACAAGCCCUGGAAACGGGGUCUAAUACCGGAUAUGAGCCUGGGAGGCAUCUCCCGGGUUGUAAAGCUCCGGCGGUGCAGGAUGAGCCCGCGGCCUAUCAGCUUGUUGGUGAGGUAAUGGCUCACCAAGGCGACGACGGGUAGCCGGCCUGAGAGGGCGACCGGCCACACUGGGACUGAGACACGGCCCAGACUCCUACGGGAGGCAGCAGUGGGGAAUAUUGCACAAUGGGCGAAAGCCUGAUGCAGCGACGCCGCGUGAGGGAUGACGGCCUUCGGGUUGUAAACCUCUUUCAGCAGGGAAGAAGCGAAAGUGACGGUACCUGCAGAAGAAGCGCCGGCUAACUACGUGCCAGCAGCCGCGGUAAUACGUAGGGCGCAAGCGUUGUCCGGAAUUAUUGGGCGUAAAGAGCUCGUAGGCGGCUUGUCACGUCGAUUGUGAAAGCCCGAGGCUUAACCUCGGGUCUGCAGUCGAUACGGGCUAGCUAGAGUGUGGUAGGGGAGAUCGGAAUUCCUGGUGUAGCGGUGAAAUGCGCAGAUAUCAGGAGGAACACCGGUGGCGAAGGCGGAUCUCUGGGCCAUUACUGACGC
rnacentral:rRNA from 1 species